UACGAAGGGGGCUAGCGUUGCUCGGAAUCACUGGGCGUAAAGGGUGCGUAGGCGGGUCUUUAAGUCAGAGGUGAAAUCCUGGAGCUCAACUCCAGAACUGCCUUUGAUACUGAAGAUCUUGAGUCCGGGAGAGGUGAGUGGAACUGCGAGUGUAGAGGUGAAAUUCGUAGAUAUUCGCAAGAACACCAGUGGCGAAGGCGGCUCACUGGCCCGGUACUGACGCUGAGGCACGAAAGCGUGGGGAGCAAACAGG
rnacentral:rRNA from 1 species